UUUUACUCAAGCGCAUUUUUCUCUGAUUUAUAAUACGCUAAAUGCCGAAUGAGGAUUUGACCACAUGUGUACAAAAGUGCCCAAACAAUACAAGAUCCUUAGAAGUCAUGUGUGGUUUCUCUGCCAGCCAGAAAUGAAUUGAACGAAAGACCCGUUUCCAGCCGGGUGGCUAGGUGCGUUUCAAGCCAUAGAUUACACACCAUAAUACAUUAAUUCAGUGCACCUAGCAGGGCACAUUUUCUGUUUCCUGCCAGCGGAUGAGAGUCUCCUGGAUUUCUGAGCAGGCUUGGAUUGUCAGCUCAUGAUUAACCUUUGGUGCCCCUUUUGCCUCACAGAAUGUUAUUCUUACAAAUUGUCCCUUUGUAGCCUCACAAAAUGCAUGGCACCCUUGUAAAUGUGGCGUAUGUCUGGCUCCCGAAUUCGUUUACUCAAGAUUGUCAAACACCUGUUCUCAUUCUCUCGCCCGGAAAUCAAAUUCCCAGAGAGUCCACGUCCGCCAUGAGUAAGGUGGCCUCGCUAAUGGCUGCAGAUAUCAACUUGUCCUGCAGGCAACAGCAACAGAAAAUAUCAAGCCCGGGGCCCCGCCGUCACGCGUGUAAAAAUCGACGGCCACCGCCGCCCCCGCGGCUAUCUGCAGGAUUCCAAUCUGCGCCUGCAAGCAACGGCAGCUAACAUUGUUUGCUGGGAUCCGGAUCUCUGUCGCUGGAUCUUCCUCCCAAGCACAUGUAUGAGUUGCCAGCUUGCCACGCAGGAUGAGGCACUUGUAAGGCUCUGGAUUGCGGAAGGCUGAUGGGUCAUUGCUUGAAACGUUGAUUCAAAGGAAAGUCGUGUCUGGAUGGUACUAUUGGAAGCACAUCGAGCUAAAUUCAUGUCUGAAUUACCCUCAGCCAAAGUGGGUAGACGUGGCUCACCUGUAAAAGGCUUUUGGCCAGCGUGUCGUUCCCAAAUCGCUGCAGCUCCGGCAGCCGCCAUGCAGUUAUUCCCAAAGACAAGCUGUGACGCCUCCUAUUCCCUUAGCUCCAAGUGAUGAUCUGCGAGAUGUGCGUUUCUGAUCAAGCAGCGCCUUGAUUGCAAAACCUCUAGAGCCAAUCUUGUAUACAAAAUGCGGUGUGAAGGUAAGCUGCUGAAAGUGUCCGCCGCAUACAACAUUUGUUGACAAUUCCUUGGCUGCUUACCUGCUCUCUUGCUUCAUCCAGUCUUACCAUGGCUGGGCACAGCAGUGCAAAAGCCAGAGUCUCAAGAUGGCCGGCA
rnacentral:lncRNA from 1 species